rnacentral:misc_RNA from 1 species
AAGUCGUAACAAGGUUUCCGUAGGUGAACCUGCGGAAGGAUCAUUAACACGUAUCCACGUAUUAAGCAACCGAGCAUUGAAUUUCAACCCUCCCUCCGAAGGAUCAUGAGUGGGCCAGUGACCGAGAUACGAGUGGGCUGUUCGCAGCGCUUGGCACAUCGCAUAAAUGACUGACGCUUAAACAACAAGCCAGUACCACUGAAUUUUCAACGAGGCUACCUUCUAAACCGCCAAGUGGCCCAACUCUCUACCCAAUGGUUUAGAUACAUUACACUAACUAUAAACACCAACCUUUUUGCUAGUUGACUUUAAAUUGUAAGUCUGUCCGCAAGGAACGGCUUACACGUUUGAUUAUUUGAACGUUAAAAUUACAACUCUUAGCAAUGGAUAUCUUGGUUCUC